AUGCCAUGUUGUGGACAUUUCCUCUGCAGGUCUUUAUAUCUUUCCCAUGUGUCAUAGAAUGAUUCACCUUCAUUUUUUUUUAAGGUGUUGAGCUUAAGUCUCAGUCU